UUUUCAUUUCGGUAAUAGUUUUUUUUCCUUUGGAAAAAAACAAGUAUUAAAAAAACUAUAGUAUAAUUUAUGAGCCAAGAUUUAACAAUUUGAAAAUACUAAACAAAAAAAACUGACCAGAAAGCAAGAAAGUCUGCCAUAACAAGCUACAUUUGGGUCUUGCCAACACUGCUCGGACCUAGGCUGCCACGUUGACUGCCCGAGGAGAUAAAAGACAACAGUCAAUGUUUUCUAAUUGUUUCCGAAAAGACUGACUAUCCUGUAUAAGAGGCCACUUGCACUAGACUUUGCAGGAGAAACGAAGAUGAAAAUGUGCAGUAAAUGAUGGCAAUGGCAUUGGUUGAGACAACUGCAACAGCAGAUGCAACCAUAUAGAGACCAGCUGCAGUGCAGUUGACCGACACUCCGACUUGUCGUUGUCUCAAUGAGGUGCUGUACCAGCAUCCGGCAUCGGUCUCAUCAGCACAUGUGUGUGCGUGUCCGGCAGACAAUUACAUGACCUAGCUGACCAACUGGCCAGCUAACCAGCAGACCAACGGAGCAGUUGGCAAUCAGGUCCGUUGAGCGAGCGGCUGUUGUUGGAGUCCAGCAAUUUUCCCCACUAAAGGUACGAGUGUGGCAUUAUAACAUGAUGAGCCUCAUUCAGUGGCAAAUCUGUGCGAAGGCAGCGGCCAUUAAGUCACAGCUGAAAUGCACCGGCUUGCAAUGGACUUUUUUAAGACCUUUGCACCGUAAGCCGAAAACUCGAUUGUUCUAAUGAAAAAAAAAAAAACCCAACUGAGAAACUGUUAACAGGAUGCGUCUGCGGAUGCGUCUACGGAUGCGGCUUUAAUUUAUUGUAGAGUCAAUGCCACACAUAGCCAAAAUGCCACACAUGCUUAAAAGGAGAGUACCACACGUGAACAUACCCUGUAUACGUUUGUUUAUAUGAGGAGAAUUUCAGAGCUUAAAAGUGCUGAGCUUGGUCGAGGGGUUUGAAUAACCAUCGUUCCUAUAGCUAAAGCAAUUUGAUAUAGUUGCCCGAAUCGCCCGACUCCGGCAGUGAAUACUGCCUACGUCAGAUAGACAAACCUAUGCAAAGGCACAAAAAGAAGCCGACUAUAAUAGGACAUAUAGAAUAGAAAGUAAAAUAUUAAAUAAAAAAAAUUAAUUAAAACAUCGAUGAUUAAUAUAUUCUGCCCAAUAA